GUAGGGGAGCGUUCUGUAAGCCUGUGAAGGUGUGUCGUGAGGCAUGCUGGAGGUAUCAGAAGUGCGAAUGCUGACAUAAGUAACGAUAAAGCGGGUGAAAAGCCCGCUCGCCGGAAGACCAAGGGUUCCUGUCCAACGUUAAUCGGGGCAGGGUGAGUCGACCCCUAAGGCGAGGCCGAAAGGCGUAGUCGAUGGGAAACGGGUUAAUAUUCCCGUACUUGGUGUUACUGCGAAGGGGGGACGGAGAAGGCUAUGUUGGCCGGGCGACGGUUGUCCCGGUUUAAGCGUGUAGGUGUGUGUUCCAGGUAAAUCCGGUUCACUUUAACACUGAGGCGUGACGACGAGGCACUACGGUGCUGAAGCAACAAAUGCCCUGCUUCCAGGAAAAGCCUCUAAGCAUCAGGUAACAUCAAAUCGUACCCCAAACCGACACAGGUGGUCAGGUAGAGAAUACCAAGGCGCUUGAGAGAACUCGGGUGAAGGAACUAGGCAAAAUGGUGCCGUAACUUCGGGAGAAGGCACGCUGACACGUAGGUGAAGUGAUUUACUCAUGGAGCUGAAGUCAGUCGAAGAUACCAGCUGGCUGCAACUGUUUAUUAAAAACACAGCACUGUGCAAACACGAAAGUGGACGUAUACGGUGUGACGCCUGCCCGGUGCCGGAAGGUUAAUUGAUGGGGUCAGCGCAAGCGAAGCUCCUGAUCGAAGCCCCGGUAAACGGCGGCCGUAACUAUAACGGUCCUAAGGUAGCGAAAUUCCUUGUCGGGUAAGUUCCGACCUGCACGAAUGGCGUAAUGAUGGCCAGGCUGUCUCCACCCGAGACUCAGUGAAAUUGAACUCGCUGUGAAGAUGCAGUGUACCCGCGGCAAGACGGAAAGACCCCGUGAACCUUUACUAUAGCUUGACACUGAACAUUGAGCCUUGAUGUGUAGGAUAGGUGGGAGGCUUUGAAGUGUGGACGCCAGUCUGCAUGGAGCCGACCUUGAAAUACCACCCUUUAAUGUUUGAUGUUCUAACGUGGACCCGUAAUCCGGGUUGCGGACAGUGUCUGGUGGGUAGUUUGACUGGGGCGGUCUCCUCCUAAAGAGUAACGGAGGAGCACGAAGGUUGGCUAAUCCUGGUCGGACAUCAGGAGGUUAGUGCAAUGGCAUAAGCCAGCUUGACUGCGAGCGUGACGGCGCGAGCAGGUGCGAAAGCAGGUCAUAGUGAUCCGGUGGUUCUGAAUGGAAGGGCCAUCGCUCAACGGAUAAAAGGUACUCCGGGGAUAACAGGCUGAUACCGCCCAAGAGUUCAUAUCGACGGCGGUGUUUGGCACCUCGAUGUCGGCUCAUCACAUCCUGGGGCUGAAGUAGGUCCCAAGGGUAUGGCUGUUCGCCAUUUAAAGUGGUACGCGAGCUGGGUUUAGAACGUCGUGAGACAGUUCGGUCCCUAUCUGCCGUGGGCGCUGGAGAACUGAGGGGGGCUGCUCCUAGUACGAGAGGACCGGAGUGGACGCAUCACUGGUGUUCGGGUUGUCAUGCCAAUGGCACUGCCCGGUAGCUAAAUGCGGAAGAGAUAAGUGCUGAAAGCAUCUAAGCACGAAACUUGCCCCGA
rnacentral:rRNA from 1 species